rnacentral:rRNA from 1 species
UUAGGUUAAGUUAUGAAGGGCGCAUGGUGAAUGCCUUGGUACUAGGAGCCGAUGAAGGACGGGACUAACACCGAUAUGCUUCGGGGAGCGGUAAGUACGCUUUGAUCCGGAGAUUUCCGAAUGGGGCAACCCAAUCAGCUUAGUCGCUGAUUACUUGACUAGUGAAUACAUAGCUAGCAAGAGGUAGACGCAGUGAACUGAAACAUCUUAGUAGCUGCAGGAAGAGAAAGAAACAUCGAUUCCCUGAGUAGCGGCGAGCGAAAAGGGAAGAGCCCAAACCAACAAGCUUGCUUGUUGGGGUUGUAGGACUGAACAUUAGAGUUACCAAAGUGCGACGUAGUCGCAACAGUUGGGAAGCUGUGCCAUAGAGGGUGAAAGCCCCGUAGACGAAACGUCACACUCUCUGUUCAGGAUCCUGAGUACGGCGGGACACGUGAAACCCCGUCGGAACCCGCGAGGACCAUCUCGCAAGGCUAAAUACUCCCUAGUGACCGAUAGUGAACCAGUACCGUGAGGGAAAGGUGAAAAGCACCCCGGAAGGGGAGUGAAAUAGUUCCUGAAACCAUGUGCCUACAAGCUGUCGGAGCCCGUUAAUGGGUGACGGCGUGCCUCUUGCAGAAUGAACCGGCGAGUUACGAUUGCAUGCAAGGUUAAGGUGGAAAAACCGGAGCCGUAGCGAAAGCGAGUCUUAAAUGGGCGUAAGAAGUAUGUAGUUGUAGACCCGAAACCAGGUGACCUACCCAUGUCCAGGUUGAAGGUGCGGUAAAGCGCACUGGAGGACCGAACCCGUGUCAGUUGAAAAUGGCUGGGAUGAGGUGUGGGUAGCGGUGAAAUUCCAAACGAACUUGGAGAUAGCUGGUUCUCUCCGAAAUCUCUUUAGGGGGAGCCUUGAGGUAAAGAAUCGUGGAGGUAGAGCUACUGUUUGGACAAGGGGCCCGUCAUGGGUUACCAACUUCAGAUAAACUCCGAAUGCCAUCGAUUUAUACUCAGGAGUCAGACGAUGAGUGAUAAGAUCCACCGUCGAAAGGGGAACAGCCCAGAUCACCAGUUAAGGUCCCUAAAUAUAUGCUAAGUGGAAAAGGAUGUGGAGUUGCAUAGACAACUAGGAUGUUGGCUUAGAAGCAGCCACCAUUUAAAGAGUGCGUAAUAGCUCACUAGUCGAGUGAUUCUGCGCCGAAAAUGUACCGGGGCUAAGCAUAUUACCGAAACUGUGGAUGUGCACUAUGUGCACGUGAUAGGAGAGCGUUCUAAGGGCGGCGAAGUCAGACCGUGAGGACUGGUGGAGCGCUUAGAAGUGAGAAUGCCGGUAUGAGUAGCGAAAGACAGGUGAGAAUCCUGUCCACCGAAUGACUAAGGUUUCCUGGGGAAGGCUCGUCCUCCCAGGGUAAGUCGGGACCUAAGCCGAGGCCGAGAGGCGUAGGCGAUGGAUAACAGGUUGAGAUUCCUGUACCAGUUAACUGCGUUUGACGAUGGAGGGACGCAGGAGGCUAAGCAAACCGUACGACUGGAAGAGUACGGCCAAGCAGUAAGUCAGGAUGUGAGUCAAAUGUUUACAUCCGCGUUGACAAGCUGUGAUGGGGAGCGAAAUUAAAGUAGCGAAGUUGCCGAUGUCACACUGCCGAGAAAAGCUUCUAAGGAGUAGUUAACUGCCCGUACCGCAAACCGACACAGGUAGUCGAGGAGAGAAUCCUAAGGUGAGCGAGAGAACUCUCGUUAAGGAACUCGGCAAAAUG